rfam:Parcubacteria bacterium GW2011_GWA2_46_10 TX29_C0009, whole genome shotgun sequence.
CCGCCCAUAACUCAAUGGUAGAGUAGCGGACUCUUAAUCCGUAAAUCCAGGUUCGAGCCCUGGUGGGCGGA